UCAGCCUUCAAAAUGGCAUGAGAAAACAGCCUUGUUACUUUCAAGUAGGCAGGGUGCAAUUUGGCUACUGUGAACAGCACAAAGAUCUAAUUCGGACUGUUCGAGAGACUUCAUUUAGUAUUACCAGUGAGAGCUCACCCUUUGCCUGGACUUCCACCUGCUCAUAUAGCACAUUCUUUCACUUAUUCGUCAAGAUCCCAUCCAGGAGGCUGAAUUCCACUGAAACAUCAUGUCUCCUUAGGCUUCUCUAACCUCUGCCAAUUUCUCAAACUUACCUUGAUUUUGAUGACGUUGACAAUUUGGAGUGACCUCAGUUGACUGGAGGUAACUGAUACCAUGGAAAUCAAAACCACGAUGAGGAGGGAUCUGCU